rnacentral:rRNA from 1 species
GACGAACGCUGGCGGCGUGCCUAAUACAUGCAAGUAGAACGCUGAAGGAGGAGCUUGCUUCUCCGGAUGAGUUGCGAACGGGUGAGUAACGCGUAGGUAACCUGCCUGGUAGCGGGGGAUAACUAUUGGAAACGAUAGCUAAUACCGCAUAACAGUAGAUGUUGCAUGACAUUUGCUUAAAAGGUGCAAUUGCAUCACUACCAGAUGGACCUGCGUUGUAUUAGCUAGUUGGUGGGGUAACGGCUCACCAAGGCGACGAUACAUAGCCGACCUGAGAGGGUGAUCGGCCACACUGGGACUGAGACACGGCCCAGACUCCUACGGGAGGCAGCAGUAGGGAAUCUUCGGCAAUGGACGGAAGUCUGACCGAGCAACGCCGCGUGAGUGAAGAAGGUUUUCGGAUCGUAAAGCUCUGUUGUAAGAGAAGAACGAGUGUGAGAGUGGAAAGUUC